AAGCAUGGAAAGUAGUUACAAUGUAGCUGUAAAGUGCUGCCUUGUCUUUGCCCCCUGCUCAAAAUAAAGCUGUUACCUUUCUAGCCCUGUCCGCCAUGGUGCUUAGCAGCCAGGGAUGCAUGGUCUCAGACAU